UCGGGCCUCCCCCCUGAUAUGAUUAUUAAAGGGCCGCGGUAUUUUGACCGUGCAAAGGUAGCAUAAUCAUUAGUCUUUUAAUUGAAGGCUGGUAUGAAUGGUUUGACGAAAUAUAAGCUGUCUCUGUGUAAUGUUAUGUAAUUUAACUUUUGAGUCAAAAGGCUUAAAUAAUUAUAAAAGACGAGAAGACCCUAUAGAGCUUUAUUUAUAAUUUUAUCUAUGGUGUUUAGUAGAAGUAUUUAUGGAUAUAAAUUAUAUAUUUUGUUGGGGUGACAUAAAGAUAUAAUAAACUCUUUGUGAUUCAACCAUUGAUUUAUGAAUAUUUGAUCCAUUCUUAGUGAUUAGAAGACAAAGUUCCCUUAGGGAUAACAGCGUAAUUUUUUUUGAGAGUUCUUAUCGACAAGAAAGAUUGCGACCUCGAUGUUGGAUUAAGGAAUAUGACUAGGUGUAGAAGUUUAGUUAAUAAGUC
rnacentral:rRNA from 1 species